GACGAACCGUGCGAACGUUGUUCGGAAUCACUGGGCUUAAAGGGCGCGUAGGCGGUCUUGUAAGUCUUGUGUGAAAUCCCUCGGCUUAACUGAGGAACUGCACGGGAUACUGCUUGACUUGAGAUCGGGAGAGGGAAGCGGAAUUCCGGGUGUAGCGGUGAAAUGCGUAGAUAUCGGAAGGAACAUCAGUGGCGAAAGCGGCUUCCUGGACCAGUACCGACGUUCAGGCACGAAAGCGUGGGGAGCAAACAGG
rnacentral:rRNA from 1 species